UGAGGAAUAUUGGACAAUGGGCGAGAGCCUGAUCCAGCCAUGCCGCGUGCAGGAAGACGGCCCUAUGGGUUGUAAACUGCUUUUAUACAGGAAGAAACACUCCCUCGUGAGGGAGCUUGACGGUACUGUAGGAAUAAGGAUCGGCUAACUCCGUGCCAGCAGCCGCGGUAAUACGGAGGAUCCAAGCGUUAUCCGGAAUCAUUGGGUUUAAAGGGUCCGUAGGCGGGAUAAUAAGUCAGCGGUGAAAGUCUGUGGCUCAACCAUAGAAUUGCCAUUGAUACUGUUGUUCUUGAGUGUUUAUGAAGUGGUUAGAAUAUGUAGUGUAGCGGUGAAAUGCUUAGAUAUUACAUGGAAUACCGAUUGCGAAGGCAGAUCACUAAUAAAAUACUGACGCUGAUGGACGAAAGCGUAGGUAGCGAACAGGAUUAGAUACCUGGUAGUCUACGCCGUAAACGAUGGUUACUAGCUGUUCGGAAGCAAUUC
rnacentral:rRNA from 1 species